CCAGACUCCUACGGGAGGCAGCAGUGGGGAAUAUUGGACAAUGGGGGGAACCCUGAUCCAGCGACGCCGCGUGAGUGAAGAAGUAUUUCGGUAUGUAAAGCUCUAUCAGCAGGGAAGAAAGAAAUGACGGUACCUGACUAAGAAGCCCCGGCUAACUACGUGCCAGCAGCCGCGGUAAUACGUAGGGGGCAAGCGUUAUCCGGAUUUACUGGGUGUAAAGGGAGCGUAGACGGCAUGGCAAGUCAGAUGUGAAAGCCCGGGGCUCAACCCCGGGACUGCAUUUGAAACUGUCAGGCUGGAGUGCAGGAGAGGUAAGUGGAAUUCCUAGUGUAGCGGUGAAAUGCGUAGAUAUUAGGAGGAACACCAGUGGCGAAGGCGGCCUGCUGGACGACAACUGACGGUGAGGCGCGAAAGCGUGGGGAGCAAACAGGAUUAGAUACCCGGGUAG
rnacentral:rRNA from 1 species